UGGCCGUUGGCGAAAUUGGUAGACGCAAGGGUUAACGUACUCGUCACUUUUGUCCGGAUGGAAUGUAGACGGGUUUACAUUUUAAAUUGGAAACUUAAAACACCCUAUUUUGCAGGUUCAACUCCUGCACGGCCAG
rnacentral:tRNA from 1 species